rnacentral:rRNA from 1 species
UAACGGCGAGUGAAGCGGGACUAGCUCAGGAUGUGAAUCUGCGCUUUUAUGGCGCCGAAUUGUGGUCUGUAGACUUUGACAUUAUUUGCCGGGCCAAGUUCCUUGGAAAAGGACAGCUGAGAGGGUGACACUCCCGUCCGCCUGGUAAAGUGAGUCAUUUGUCAACGAGUCGAGUUGUUUGGGAUUGCAGCUCUAAUUUGGUGGUAAAUUCCAUCUAAAGCUAAAUAUUGGUGGGAGACCGAUAGCGUACAAGUACCGUGAGGGAAAGAUGCAAAGAACUUUGAAAAGAGAGUUAAAGAGUACCUGAAACUGCUGAAACGGAAGCGAAGGAAACCAGUGUUUGUUUGUUCAUAUUUCCCUGGCCACUUGUGGUCUGGGCGCUGUGGACUUGCGUGAGUUUGGGUUGGUUGAUCCCUUUGGAAGAGCGCAGUCAGAGUUGAUGUCUGUUGCUAGCACUGGGUUUGACUGAUGCAGACGAAAUGGUUUUCUUUACCCCGUCUUGAAACACGGACCAAGGAGUCUAACAUAUGUGCGAGUACAGGGGUGUCAAACCCCCGUGCGCAAUGAAAGUGACAGUGGUUGGAAUUUUUGCACAAUCCGCCGGCCUCAAUCCCUCGGGAGAACGGUCUGAGUGUGAGCAUACAUGUUGGGACCCGAAAGAUGGUGAACUAUGCCUGAAUAGGGUGA